CCUACGGGCGGCAGCAGUGGGGAAUAUUGCACAAUGGGGGAAACCCUGAUGCAGCAACGCCGCGUGAGUGAGGAAGUAUUUCGGUAUGUAAAGCUCUAUCAGCAGGGAAUAGAAAAGAAGGUACCUGAAAAAGAAGCCCCGGCUAACUACGUGCCAGCAGCCGCGGUAAUACGGAGGGGGCAGGCGUUAUCCGGAUUUACUGGGGGUAAAGGGAGCGUAGACGGAAAGGCAAGUCAGAAGUGAAAGCGCAAGGCUCAACCAUGGGACUGCUUUUGAAACUGUCAAACUAGAGUGCGGGAGAGGUAAGAGGAAUGCCUAGUGUAGCGGUGAAAUGCGUAGAUAUUAGGAGGAACACCAGUGGCGAAGGCGUCUUACUGGACCGAAACUGACGUUGAGGCACGAAAGCGUGGGGAGCGAACAGGAUUAGAUACCCGGGUAGUC
rnacentral:rRNA from 1 species